rnacentral:rRNA from 1 species
CCUACGGGUGGCAGCAGUGGGGAAUAUUGCACAAUGGGGGAAACCCUGAUGCAGCGACGCCGCGUGAGUGAAGAAGUAUCUCGGUACGUAAAGCCUCAUCUGCCGGGAAGCAAAUGCCGGUACCUGACUACGAAGCCGCGGCUCACUACGUGACACAAGCCGCGGGAACUUGUCGGGGGCCGGCGUUAUCCGGAUUUACUGGGCGUAAAGGGAGUGUAGACGGCAGCGCAAGUCUGGAGGGAAAUCCCAGGGCAUAACCAUGGAACUGCUUUUGAAACUGGGCGGCUGGAGUGCAGGAGAGGUAAGCGGAAUGCGCAGUGUAGCGGUGAAAUGCGUAGAUAUUAGGAGGAACACCGGUUGCGAAGGCAGCAUACUGGACUGUAACUGACGUUGAGGCACGAAAGCGUGGGGAUCGAACAGGAUUAGAUACCCUUGUAGUC